AGGUAGAUAGGUUGGGGGUGGAAGUGCAGCAAUGCAUGGAGCUGACCAAUACUAAUCGGUCGAGGGCUUAUCCUAAA
rnacentral:rRNA from 1 species